UGAUAAAGCAGAUGAGAGAUAAGAAAGAAAAAGAAUUGACACCUUACUAUAAAAAGGGGCCCAAGAGUUGACACAUCCCAAAAUCAACCUCGCUUCCUUCACUCCCCUCAAAUCAAAAUCCUUCUAUAGGGAAAUGCUGUCUUUUUUACAGAAUUCUUAAUCAACAACUUCCCAGUUAAUACUAAAUUUUGUCUUUUAAUUUACUGCAAUUCUAAGACAGUAACUUCCUAUCUAAACCACGUGGCAUGCCUCUUUCCCACAGGAACUGUGCAGCCUCAGGAUACAGCACAAGAACACUUAGGAAAAAACAGCUUUAUACUUCAUCGAACCAUGCUUAGAGGGGUACAUUCCUCUCCCUGCCAGGCUUUGUCCCACAGCCAACACAUCCUGAUGUCUCUCUCCCUAGACUGUGCUCCUCAUGUUUCUGCCCUCACUUUGUGGAAGUACAAAUGCAAGGGAGCAGAUAUCUUUCAUCACAAACCUGCACCGUGAAGCAGAUUUAACACCACUGGCAGGAUGACAAUGAGGUUUCAUGAGCAGAAAUAAAUCAGAAUACAAUCUCGAGAUGAAAAAUUAUCCCAAUUCAGGCCUGGAAAGAUCCACUCUGUAUUUUAUUUACAAGCAAAGAGGAGAUACAAAAUGCUAAUUGACAUUAUGAUUAUUUCUUGAAGUGCACUCUCACCCCUAUAGAACUAAAUGUAAGUUCCUUGCAUUUCUUGUCUCACUUUCAGAUCUGACCUUUAAAAUGAUGCAUGGUGAAGGGAAGGUGGUGCCUUUAAAAAGCAUCAUGAGCUUUAUGGAGUCAAGCCAAGCAGCUACUUAGGCAACCAUUAGGUUGGGAAACAAUCACUUCCAUCAUUCCCAACACGUGUGUCAACAUAAUUCCAUGCUCUCUUUGUCAUGCAAAAAGUCUUGGCAAAGUAACCGGAUACACCCAGAAAGCAGGAGCGAACUAAGCUCAUUAUGUUAACCGGAGAUCCCACAGCAGCCUCCAGUGCCUUAGAAGGAGACUUCCCAUGUUCUGCAGUGUAGAAAAGGAAACUCACUGCGCUGAAGAGGGCCAAGCCUGGCUUCAGAAGCGUGUGAGGGAGAUUCACAAUUGGGUUUUGUGGAAGGGGAUCCCUGACAAGUGGCAGAGGCUGUGUCAGGCAGUGUGAUAACAGGCGUUGCAGAAGGUACAGGAGCAAGGCCUCUCAGCCUGCCUGAAAAAAAUACUGAAUGCUUUUUGGUGAUCCAGCAACUAUAGAAGAUGAUUCAGUGCUGUGAGAAUAAAGUCCUAAUAGUGUUGGAUAUUUCCAUGUGCUUUAAAACUUCAGCUGCUUUACCUUGGUAAAGGCAAUGGUAACACACACUUUUCAACCCCUUUUGCCUCUUGAAUGCUUGCAAGUCUAAACAUGGUCUUAGUAAUGCAUUCAGCAAAACACAGCUCCAAAACAAUACAUGUUCACAAAGGCCUGCAAGGGCUAAAAUGAAGAUGGAUGAGAAUAGUAAAACCUUCUCCAGAAUGUUGCUGACAUCUCUAAAGAAAGCCAAAGACUUCUACUGAUUGCUGUGUUUAAGCCUGUAUCAGUCACACUACACGCUUUCUUCCUUAAGAUGCCAAAUUUUUGGCAGAUGCCAUUACCACCCAAAUACUUGAGAAUCAAAACCAAACAGCACCGUCCAAGUGGACAAGUGUAGCAGAACCCUUCCCCCAGCAUUAUCACUGGAGUGGGAGUAAGCAUUUGGUUCUGACUCUGUCUUCUCCCUGCUCCACCACUUUGGGCAAAUUUACACUAUAUAGGCUUCUGAAAAUGUACAUCAAAUAUUACAGAACUUUCAUUAACAAGUCAAAUAAAAUAAGAGAGUAAAAAGUGAACAUACCUGAAUAAGAGAAACGUUGUGUAGACUAAGUCUGAAGAGGUAGUUCCUGCAUGAACAAGCAGAAAAAUUACAAACUAUUAGGCUACCAAGGAAGGAAGGGAAAAGUUAUUAAAGCAAGUAAUAGUUUUUGGUCAUUCAUGUCUACAAACAAAAACUUUUCCUGGACUCCACAGAAUACAAAAGCAGUUAUAUGCCUGUUCACUCACUUGUUCAUCAGUAUCUUAGUGAAUUUGGUAACAAAGUUCUGAGCAGAUCCUAGCAUUAAAUAUUCCCGAAUCCAUACUGAAGAACCACAGUGAAAUCUCAGCCACAAAGGGCCAUUUGCAAACUCUCAGCAGGUUUAGUUGAGGUCCGUAUGGGCUGCAGUCAUGUUUUUCACUGAAUUCUGAGAAAACUGGGAUUGGACAGAAGCCAGCUGGAGCAGAGCUGACUUCCUACUAUGCUCCCCCCCAAGCCUGUUCUUGUGGGAAUUCCCAUUCAGGACUUCGUGGAAGAGAAGAGAGCAGAUACUUCUCAGUGGAAUCUCUCUGCACAGAAAAUCAGCAGGGAAAUCAAGGCAGUGACUGAAGAUAUUCCCAAUCCUCCUGUCAUUGUCUCUUCACAGGCAAAGCAAGGGAAUUCCUGACAGAAGUCACUGUAGCAUGAGAUACCACAUAUCAGCUGAGCUCCUGUCACCCUUCUGAUUGUUCAUAUCCCAUCACAAAUAGGAAGCAACACAUAUUUGCAUAAACAUCUAUAGAUAAGGCUUAGUUAACAGGGUUUAGCUCACAUUUUUGCUUGCUAAGACAAUGCAGUUACCAGGAAUCAGCUGACAUAUUAAGCCAUACGGACUGGAUUGUGUGCUUGAGGCUUUUGGCCACAUCUAACUUUAUAUUUUUGCAUACCAUCUGUCACAAGGUCUAAAGAGCUGUAAUCCUUUUCCAACAUCACUGACACCACAAUCUUCCAGACAACACACAUUUAUAUCAUACAAGGUGAAUUGAACCAUAAUUCUGGAAGUGGCUCUGUUUAAAUGGUAGAAAAUGCAGCUUUGAUGAUAUAGGUUCAUCUGCUCUAGAAAUGCCAGUAUACAGACAUUCCCCCACCUAGUGAAAAUGCAAGACCUAGCACAGUUACCCCAGAGGAAAGAUCCUGUAGUGAUGAAAAAGUCCUACAAGGACCUAAGAAGGUCCUAAGGACUCUUCUGAAGAGCCUUCUGUGGUACAGCAGCACACCCUGACCAGGUAAAAAAGUAAUUCAAACUUCGAUAGUGAGAGAUUCAUAUUGGGUCACAAUGACUGCAACAAG